rnacentral:rRNA from 1 species
GAAUCCUUCCGGCCGAAUAUCUAAGGUUUCCAGAGUAAAGCUGAUCUGCUCUGGGUAAGUCGGGGCCUAAGGCGAGGUCGAAAGACGUAGUCGAUGGAUAACAGGUUGAAAUUCCUGUACUAUCCUGUAACAGAACUGUGGGGACACAGGCAGAGAGCGUGAGCCGGGAAUGGAAAGACCGGUACAAGCGAGGUAGGAGAAGAGUUGGCAAAUCCGCUCUUUAAUCUGAAGACGUGAUGUGGACUGAAAAUAAGUAGGGAAGCACGUGAGCUGACUGUCAAGAAAAGCCGCUAUUGUUUGCAGGAUACCCGUACCGUAAACCGACACAGGUGGAUGAGGAGAGAAUCCUAAGGCCGACGGAAGAAGCAUUGUUAAGGAACUCGGCAAAAUGACCCCGUAACUUCGGGAGAAGGGGUGCCCACGGGAGUGGGCCGCAGAGAAUAGGCUCAAGCAACUGUUUAGCAAAAACACAGGUCUAUGCGAAACCGAAAGGUGAGGUAUAUGGGCUGACGCCUGCCCGGUGCUGGAAGGUUAAGAGGAGAGGUUAGCGCAAGCGAAGCUUUGAAUUUAAGCCCCAGUAAACGGCGGCCGUAACUAUAACGGUCCUAAGGUAGCGAAAUUCCUUGUCGGGUAAGUUCCGACCCGCACGAAAGGCGUAAUGAUUUGGGCACUGUCUCAACAAUGCACCCGGUGAAAUUGAAAUACCAGUGAAGAUGCUGGUUACCUGCGCCAGGACGGAAAGACCCCAUGGAGCUUUACUCCAGUUUGAUACUGGGAUUCGGUACUGCAUGUACAGGAUAGGUGGGAGACGAAGAAGGAUGGACGCCAGUCUGUCCGGAGUCGCUGUUGGGAUACCACCCCUGUAGUACUGGGUUUCUAACCAGUUGCCAUGAACUGGCAAUGGGACAAUGUCAGGCGGGGAGUUUGACUGGGGCGGUCGCCUCCGAAAGGGUAUCGGAGGCGCUCAAAGGUUCCCUCAGAAUGGUUGGAAACCAUUUGAAGAGUGCAAAGGCAGAAGGGAGCUUGACUGCGACACCGACGGGUGGAGCAGGUACGAAAGUAGGACUUAGUGAUCCGGUGGUAUAAAGUGGGAUUGCCAUCGCUCAACGGAUAAAAGCUACCCUGGGGAUAACAGGCUUAUCACUCCCAAGAGUUCACAUCGACGGAGUGGUUUGGCACCUCGAUGUCGGCUCAUCGCAUCCUGGGGCUGUAGUAGGUCCCAAGGGUUGGGCUGUUCGCCCAUUAAAGCGGUACGCGAGCUGGGUUCAGA